rnacentral:rRNA from 1 species
UACGUAGGGCGCAAGCGUUAUCCGGAAUUACUGGGCGUAAAGCGCGCGUAGGCGGCGACCUUUGUCAGAGGUGAAAUCCCGAGGCUCAACUUCGGAAUUGCCUUUGAAACGGGGUUGCUUGAGUCCGAGAGAGGAUGGCGGAAUUCCUAGUGUAGAGGUGAAAUUCGUAGAUAUUAGGAAGAACACCGGUGGCGAAGGCGGCCAUCUGGCUCGGUACUGACGCUCAGGCGCGAAAGCGUGGGGAUCAAACAGG